UACGUAGGGUGCAAGCGUCGUCCGGAAUUAUUGGGCGUAAAGAGCUCGUAGGCGGUUCGUCGCGUCGGCUGUGAAAACCCGGAGCUCAACUCCGGGCCUGCAGUCGAUACGGGCGGACUCGAGUUCGGCAGGGGAGACUGGAAUUCCUGGUGUAGCGGUGAAAUGCGCAGAUAUCAGGAGGAACACCGGUGGCGAAGGCGGGUCUCUGGGCCGAUACUGACGCUGAGGAGCGAAAGCGUGGGGAGCGAACAGG
rnacentral:rRNA from 1 species